rnacentral:rRNA from 1 species
UACGAGGGGGGCAAAUGUUGUUCGGAAUCACUGGGCGUAAAGGGAGCGUAGGCGGGUUUCUAAGUCAGGUGUUUAAUCCCGGGGCCCAACCCCGGACAGGCACUUGAAACUGGGAAUCUUGAAUAGUGGAGAGGUCAGUGGAAUUGGGGGUGUAGCGGUGGAAUGCGUAGAGAUCCCCAAGAACACCAGUGGCGAAAGCGGCUCACUGGACCACAACUGACGCUGAUGCGCGAAAGCUAGGGGAGCAAACAGG